AGUUUUGCGCAGUGGCAGUACUGUAGCCAAUGAGGGUUAUAUGAGGUGCGAUUAUUGCUAAUUGAAAACUUUUCCCAAAUAAUUUUAAGUCAAUGAAAGCACUUGAGAUUGCUUUUCUUGCUUUGUUUGGAUCAUCAUAUGCUUUUGAACAUUUGUUUUCAUCUUUGAG
ensembl:snRNA U4 U4 spliceosomal RNA